rnacentral:rRNA from 1 species
AACGAACGCUGGCGGCAUGCCUAACACAUGCAAGUCGAACGGGACCUCCGGGUCUGGUGGCGCACGGGUGCGUAACGCGUGGGACCCGGCCCUUAGGUUCGGAAUACUUCCCCGAAGGGGGUGCUAAUACCGGAUAAUUUCUUCGAACCAAAGAUUUAUCGCCUUUGGAUGGGCCCGCGUUGGAUUAGCUAGUUGGUAGGGUAAAAGCCUACCAAGGCGACGAUCCAUAGCUGGUCUGAGAGGAUGAUCAGCCACACUGGGACUGAGACACGGCCCAGACUCCUACGGGAGGCAGCAGUGGGGAAUAUUGGACAAUGGGCGAAAGCCUGAUCCAGCAAUGCCGCGUGAGUGAUGAAGGCCUUAGGGUUGUAAAGCUCUUUUACCCGGGAUGAUAAUGACAGUACCGGGAGAAUAAGCUCCGGCUAACUCCGUG